UACGUAGGGGGCAAGCGUUGUCCGGAUUCAUUGGGCGUAAAGAGCGUGUAGGCGGCCAGGUAGGUCGGUUGUGAAAACUGGAGGCUCAACCUUCAGAGGUCGACCAAACCUCUGGCUAGAGUCCGGGAGAGGAGAGUGGAAUUCCUGGUGUAGCGGGUGAAAAUGCGCAGAUAUCAGGGAAAGAACACCCAAUGGCGAAAAAGCAGCUUUUC
rnacentral:rRNA from 1 species